GCCAUUUUAUGUUGCUCGUUGAAGGUACAAUUACAUUUGAUUAGAAAACACAGGCAAUCCAUCACAAAUGUAGUGAUAGUGCUGCUCAAAUUUUGCUUUUUCUACAAUCAUUUUAUGACUACAAAAAUUGCUUUUGCUACAAUCCAUCUCUUGCAUGUGCAAUCAUUUUACUUGAGCUGUGUAGUCUUAGCAAAAUCUGUCCUUUUGGUGGUGUUGUAGUCGUUGCCGAUUUUCAUCUUUG
rnacentral:misc_RNA from 1 species